rnacentral:sRNA from 1 species
UUCCUCCUUCGGGCCAGCUUUCCUUAGGGGCUGCAACCCGGACGCCGAGGCCGGUUUCGGAGUGGGGAGUGCCCAUUUUCUCUCCUUCCCACGUUCCUGGCCCCCAGACGCCAUUUGCAGGCGGGUGGCUUGGGUCAGCCUCCCCGCCCCCACCCGACUCCCGUCACGGGAGAGCGCACACCGCGCCCCGAGAACCAAUCAGCAGCCGUCUUAGGUAACCAUGUCUGAGUCUGGACACAGUCAGCCUGGACUCUAUGGGAUAGAGCGGCGGCGACGGUGGAAGGAGCCUGGCUCUGGUGGCCCCCAGAAUCUCUCUGGGCCUGGUGGUCGGGAAAGGGACUACAUUGCACCAUGGGAAAGAGAGAGAAGGGAUGCCAGCGAAGAGACAAGCACUUCCGUCAUGCAGAAAACCCCCAUCAUCCUCUCAAAACCUCCAGCAGAGCGGGUGAGCAGAGAAGGAGGGAAGAGGGGGAGCCGUUAGGGAAGGGAUUGCCCCCAUUGAUGGAAUUUUUUUUACCUCCGUAGUCAAAACAGCCACCACCUCCAACAGCCCCUGCUGCCCCGCCUGCUCCAGCCCCUCUGGAGAAGCCCAUCGUUCUCAUGAAGCCACGGGAGGAGGGGAAGGGGCCUGUGGCCGUGACAGGUGCCUCUACCCCUGAGGGCACCGCCCCACCACCCCCUGCAGCCCCUGCUCCACCCAAGGGGGAGAAGGAGGGGCAGAGACCCACACAGCCUGUGUACCAGAUCCAGAACCGGGGCAUGGGCACUGCCGCACCAGCAGCCAUGGACCCUGUCGUGGGUCAGGCCAAACUACUGCCCCCAGAGCGCAUGAAGCACAGCAUCAAGUUGGUGGAUGACCAGAUGAAUUGGUGUGACAGUGCCAUCGAGUACCUGUUGGAUCAGACUGAUGUGUUGGUGGUUGGUGUCCUGGGCCUCCAGGGGACAGGCAAGUCCAUGGUCAUGUCAUUGUUGUCAGCCAACACUCCAGAGGAGGACCAGAGGACUUAUGUUUUCCGGGCCCAGAGUGCUGAAAUGAAGGAACGAGGGGGCAACCAGACCAGUGGCAUCGACUUCUUUAUUACCCAAGAACGGAUUGUUUUCCUGGACACACAGCCCAUCCUGAGCCCUUCUAUCCUAGACCAUCUCAUCAAUAAUGACCGCAAACUGCCUCCAGAGUACAACCUUCCCCACACUUACGUUGAGAUGCAGGUGAGGGAGCCAAGCCAGGCCCAGGACUGAGGUUUUACAUCCCCACCCCCAUCCUCCCAAGAUCUGGAGAGCUGGGUGUGGGUGGUCCACUUAGUUUCUGCUUCAGAAGAGCCCUGGCUGCCGCAAGGGCUAUAGGAAGAGGACAACACUGGGAGUCAGAACUGGCUCAACUCCUGGCUCUGCCCCUCAGGCAAGUCAUUUCCCACCCCCUCCCCUUUGAAGCCUCAGCAUCUGCCUGUGUAAAAUGGGGGUGACAAUUCCCACCUUUCCUG